rnacentral:rRNA from 1 species
AGCGGCGGACGGGUGAGUAACACGUGGGCAACCUGCCUCAUAGAGGGGAAUAGCCUUCCGAAAGGAAGAUUAAUACCGCAUAAGAUUGUAGUAUCGCAUGGUACAGCAAUUAAAGGAGCAAUCCGCUAUGAGAUGGGCCCGCGGCGCAUUAGCUAGUUGGUGAGGUAACGGCUCACCAAGGCGACGAUGCGUAGCCGACCUGAGAGGGUGAUCGGCCACAUUGGGACUGAGACACGGCCCAGACUCCUACGGGAGGCAGCAGUGGGGAAUAUUGCACAAUGGGGGAAACCCUGAUGCAGCAACGCCGCGUGAGUGAUGGCGGCCUUCGGGUUGUAAAGCUCUGUCUUCAGGGACGAUAAUGACGGUACCUGAGGAGGAAGCCACGGCUAACUACGUGCCAGCAGCCGCGGUAAUACGUAGGUGGCGAGCGUUGUCCGGAUUUACUGGGCGUAACGGGAGCGUAGGCGGACUUUUAAGUGAGAUGUGAAAUACCCGGGCUCAACUUGGGUGCUGCAUUUCAAACUGGAAGUCUAGAGUGCAGGAGAGGAGAAUGGAAUUCCUAGUGUAGCGGUGAAAUGCGUAGAGAUUAGGAAGAACACCAGUGGCGAAGGCGCUUCUCUGGACUGUAACUGACGCUGAGGCUCGAAAGCGUGGGGAGCAGACAGGAUUAGAUACCCUGGUAGUCCACGCCGUAGACGAUGAAUACUAGGUGU